GGGGGUAUAGCUUAAUGGUAGAGUGUGUGCUUAGCACACACACAGUCCUGGGUUCAAUCCCCUGACCUCCA
rnacentral:tRNA from 1 species